UACAGAGGUCCCAAGCGUUGUUCGGAUUCACUGGGCGUAAAGGGGGCGCAGGUGGGCUGGUAAGUUCGAUGUGAAAGCCCCGGGCUUAACCCGGGAAUGGCAUUGGAUACUACUGGUCUGGAGGAUCGGAGGGGGGACUGGAAUUCUUGGUGUAGCAGUGAAAUGCGUAGAUAUCAAGAGGAACACCAGUGGCGAAGGCGAGUCCCUGGACGAUACCUGACACUGAGGCACGAAAGCCAAGGGAGCAAACAGG
rnacentral:rRNA from 1 species